CUAGGUGUUGGGGACAUUCCACGUCGUCGUUGCCGCAGCUUACGCAUUAGUUCCCCGCUUGGGGAGUACGGCCGCAAGGCUAAAACUCAAAGGUAUUGACGGGGUCGCGCACAAGCAGCGGAGCAUGUGGCUUAAUUCGACGCAACGCGAAGAACCUUACCAAGGCUUGACAUACACCGGAAAGCAUCAGAGAUGGUGCCCCCCUUGUGGUCGGUGUACAGGUGGUGCAUGGCUUGUCGUCAGCUCGUGUCGUGAGAUGUUGGGUUAAGUCCCGCAACGAGCGCAACCCUUGUUCUGUGUUGGCCAGCAUGCCCUUCGGGGUGAUGGGGACUCACAGGAGACCGCCGGGGUCAACUCGGAGGAAGGUGGGGACGACGUCAAGUCAUCAUGCCCCUUAUGUCUUGGGCUGCACACGUGCUACAAUGGCCGGUACAAUGAGCUGCGAUACCGCCAAGGUGGAGCGAAUCUCAAAAAGCCGGUCUCAGUUCGGAUUGGGGUCUGCAACUCGACCCCAUGAAGUCGGAGUUGCUAGUAAUCGCAGAUCAGCAUUGCUGCGG
rnacentral:rRNA from 1 species